CCUUGAGUUCUGGGCCGCACGCGCGCUACACUGAUGAAGUCAGCGAGUUUAUAACCUUGGCCGGAAGGUCUGGGUAAACUUUUGAAACUUCAUCGUGCUGGGGAUAGAGCAUUGUAAUUAUUGCUCUUCAACGAGGAAUUCCUAGUAAGCGCAAGUCAUCAGCUUGCGUUGAUUACGUCCCUGCCCUUUGUACACACCGCCCGUCGCUACUACCGAUUGAAUGGUUAUAGUGAGCAUAUGGGAUCAGUAGGAUUAAACUGGCAACAGUUUUUCCCUGCAGAGAACUAUGGCAAACUAGGCUAUUUAGAGGAAGUAAAAGUCGUAACAAGGUUUCCGUAGGUGAACCUGCGGAAGGAUCAUUAAAUAAUUUGAGUAUGCUUAUGCAUAUUUCUAAUUUACUGUGAACUGUUUUACUGUUUAGCGUUUUGAGGGAUUGCCUAAAGAUUAUAGGGAUAGGUCUUUAGGAUGUUAACCUAGCUAAAGUCAGGCUUAGGCCUGGUAUCCUAAUUCAUUAUUUACCAAAAGAAUUCAGAAUUAAUAUUGUAACAUAAGCGUAAAAAACUUAUAAAACAACUUUUAACAACGGAUCUCUUGGUUCUCGCAUCGAUGAAAAACGUACCAAAGUGCGAUAACUAAGUGGGGAAUUGCAUAUUCAGUGGAAUCAUCGAGUCUUUUGAACGCCAUCUUGGGCCCCAAUGGGUAUUCCCUUUGAGCACGCCUGGUUUCA
rnacentral:rRNA from 1 species